rnacentral:rRNA from 1 species
GCUUACGGCCAUACCAUCCUGAAUACGCCUGAUCUCGUCUGAUCUCGGAAGCUAAGCAGGGUCGGGCCUGGUUAGUACUUGGAUGGGAGACCAACUGGGAAUACCAGGUGCUGUAAGUG